rnacentral:lncRNA from 1 species
CCAACUCUCCCUCAUCCUCUCCAUCUUGCUGCCGUGAGAUGUUUCCCUUCCAUCAUUCCCAAUUCUGGCGACACCUCCAUCAACAGCUGAAGAAAACUGGAGCUGCCGUUUGUUCGUGCUCCUCUUUUGGCCACGCCAGCUUGCGAACAAAAACCAAGCUGCUGAAGCGUUGAAGAAGCCCUGCAACGACGUCUCUCGAAGAUCCAGCGCACAUCAGCUGCUCUCCAGUCAACUUCAUUCUCCACCGCUCCGUUUCCUCGCACAAGCCAGCAGCGAAGAAACAUUGAAAGCAGAAGCAGCCAGCAACACCUGCAAGCUGCCAGGCGUCUUCCACUUCUUCAGUCAACCCUUCCUUUAAAUUUUCUACUGUUGAAACCCACCGAAAUUCCACCGUUGUUCCUCUCUCUUCUACCACGAAUCAAACUCCACCGAGGUUCCAUCCUGUUGACUACAGAAGCCUCAUCAUCCGAAGACCAAAGCGGUUCGUCCGCUUCUUCCACGCAGGCCACGAAGUUCUGCCCAGCAGCGACAAAACGCUGCAGCUUCUUGGUCAGAUUGUUGACUUCAAUUUCCACGCUUGGUUGCCCACGACGCCACUUGGCCCAACGUCUGCGAGCAGCUUCGUCUUCGCUGCUUCGUGCGUCUCCAGCCACGCCAUCCAGAGAAGCCAAGAUCUUCGCAGCAUCAAUUGAAGCCGCACGCCAGCGAAGCCCAAUACACCGAUCCUUCAGCAAACCCACGCAAUCCAGCAGCCCAGCUCAGCCCGUGAAUUUCAGUGUUCAAGCCUGUAGGAUUGAGGCCCAAGUUCAGCCCUCAAUUUGAAGCCCAAGUUAGUUCAGUCCAGAAAUUCAGCAGGCCCAGUCCACCUUGGGUCUGGCCCAAAAGCAAGACCAAAUCUCAGUUGGGCUGAGAUUUGUUGGGCCAAGUCUUAGGCUCGGUCCAAGCCCGUUUUCAGCCGCCGUUGCGUCGUCGUUGCCGCAUUCCGGUCUUCGUUUAGUGCAAGUGAGUUUUACUCACUAAUGCUUUAUUAGUUUGCUAAUUAUGCCUUAGGGUUGGUUAGAUUUAAUUACAUGCACUUAGGUGGUUAGAUUAGGUUAGAACAAUUAAUUUAGUGACUUAAUGAUGCAUGUUAGGUGGCUAGACCUAGUUAUUAGCAAGUAGAAAGGUUCGGUUAUUUAUUGAAUGUAUCUCGGGAUUUUUCCCGACCCGUUUCGGGCUCCAAUCAGGCAAUAUGGGCCUAAAUUGGAUUAUUAUUAUUUAUUUAUUUAAUUUUCGAAAUUAAUUAUUUAAUUAAUUAUUUUUCUGGAAAUUCAACCGGGAUGGCUAGUGACUAGAAUUUCGUGCUGAUUGUCGGGGUGCAGACCGUUUAUUUAUUUGAGCUCUAUGUUGUGUGUGGAAUUGAAUUAAUUGUGAAAUUUGAGAAUUGUCCCAAAUUGUUUGUUAUUGAGCAUUUGAUUGGUAAUGGCCGAGCAUGGAUAUAUAGCGCCAGUACAUUGAUGGGCUAUAUAGCAGGGAGAAUGGUGAGAGCGACUGAGAACAUUAUUGGUUGAGACCAAUCAUGUACGAUAUUGUUGGACAUACGUGGUUCGGUGAUUGGGAGUAUCACUGGCGAAAACGGUGCUUUAAAGAACGCACGUAAAUGACUAUAGACAAACGUGGUUCGGUGAUCAUGGAAAUAUCACUGGUGAAAACGACGCCUUAAAGAACUCACGAUGUUGUCUAUAGCCGAUGUCACCUUGGCGAAAACGGCGCCCUAGAAAGGACACGUGGUUCGGUGAUCGAGGAUAUCACUGGUGAAAACGGCGCCUUAAAGAACGUACGGUGUCGGUGAUCAGUAUGUCAUUGGCGAAAACGACGCCUGAGAAACACAUGUGAUUUGGUGAAUGAGUACACCACUGGGAAAUCAUGGUAUGAGUGGGAAUGACCUAGAGAGGGUCUGACUGACAUGUAAUCGACUUAGUCGAUUGGCCAAUGCUUGAUCGGAUGUCGUGAAUUGUUUGAAUAUCUAUGUUUAACCUUGAAUUGCAGGUUGGAACUGAGGCCAAGGUAAGUCCUCUGACUCGUGUUGUGCUUAGGCAACCGUAUGGCGUAUCAGUUUACUAAUCGAGUCGUAGGGGGUAGGACUCGCUGAGACGUGGUCUCAUUGGUUAUUGAAUAACCAUUCCAGGACCCUGAGGAGAAGCUAAGGAAGAGGAACCUGAAGGGGAGAAAGACUUUUGAAGAAGAAGACGAUCCAGAGAGGGAUCUUGAUUAUAACCCGGAUGUGGACUGAGAUCCCAU